rnacentral:lncRNA from 1 species
UAACCGUCCACCUAGGUAAGCAUAACUGGCGAUGCAUGUCGCAAGGGGACCGCAUUGCACAAUAUAAUUAUACUAGUUGAUAAGACAAGUGAUGUCAAUCAAUAAAUUAUUUCAUUAAAACUUAGUUGUAUGUAUCAUAUGUUGUAAUGUAGGGUGUAUGAUAUGCUGACGCUGUAAAAAAAUGUAACCUUUUUAAUAUUACUCAUAAUAGUAAGACUUACCAGUAUUAGGAUGUUAUCAGUGGAAUGAGAAUCCUCUCCAGAUCUUUUUUGUGAGCUAUUAUUUGUAUUUAAUUUUAAAUAUAAAAAAUUAAAAUAAUUUAUGACGGCAGUGAUUCACAUGAUCUUCACAAAGAGAAUCCAAAUAAUCUUAAUUUAUAUCAGUGUGUCUAGAUAACAUGAUCGAGCCCCUUUACUUUUACCCUAUUUAGUAUUUUACAUUUGAACCUGUAAAUAUUCGAUUUUUCUUUGGUGCAACCGAGCACCAAAUAUAGAUUUUUUUUCACUUUUAUAUAAUGAUAAAUAAAGGGCAAUUGGCAGAUUUGAAUUCCAUUCGGAUUGGUCAAAAAUCAUUUUAAAUUGUUUUAUUUAAAAUUAAACACAUAUAGUACUUAAUAAAAAUUAGUCGUACAAUAUACGAUAAACAGAUAUAAUGUAAGGACCUUUAUGAUCUUCACAAAAAAGAUCCAAAGGUUGUGUAGCUGUUUCAAAAGGAUAAUACUCACUUUUGAUUAGUUCAAUGAAAUUUUAAACAUGUUUUAUUGUUUUAAAAAAUAAUAAACAUAUUUAUUAAUGUUUGUUUUACUUUAAAAAAUAAGCAGCACUUGACAACAUUUGAUUGUGCUAAAUAAAAAAUGAGUGACCACUUAGUACUACAGUCUUAUGAUAUUUUUCUUCAUUUGAAAGUGAGAGGUUUUAAGUUCGAAUCUCGUGGAUGACGAAUUUGAUAUCAAAUUAGAUUGCUCACUAUGUGGCUUAGCCGAACUCUCAUUUCCUUUAAUGUAAAAAUAUUGAUGUAUUCAAAAAAAUAAAAAGUGACUAUAGAGGACACUCAAUCUCAGCUGUAUGAUUAAAUCAGACGGUAAGAAAAAUUCUGCAAGCAUACUCGGUUACAUUAAUUGAAGAAAAAAUGGGUAAAUAUUGGGCACCAACGUUAUAAAUACCCUCCACCAUGCACCCAACUCCCUCACACCAUCACAACCCACGUUACAAAUCCUCCUCCUCAUCAUAACCAUUCUGUUUUCCGCAUAAUAUCCAAAAACCUAUCAUGUCUGAAGAGAAACACCACCGCGGUCUCUUCCACCACCACAAGGAUGAAGACAAACCCUCAGACUACCCUCAGUCUGGCUACUCUGAUGAAGGACGUCCCGGCGGCCUCGGUGGUGGUUACGGCGACACCAAUGAUUAUUCUGGUGAAGGACGUACCGGCGGCCUAGGUGGUGGCUAUGGCGACACCAAUGCUUAUUCUGGUGAAGGACGUCCCGGCGGCUAUGGCGGCUAUAACGAGACCACUGCUUACUCUGAGGAAAGAGUUGAAAGACCCGGCGGUGGCCGGUACAGUGAGACUACUGCGGCAUAUGGCAGCACCACCACUCAUGAAUCUGAACUUGAUUACAAGAAGGAGGAGAAGCACCACAAGCAU